GAUGAACGCUGGCGGCGUGCCUAAUACAUGCAAGUCGAGCGAACAGACGAGGAGCUUGCUCCUCUGACGUUAGCGGCGGACGGGUGAGUAACACGUGGAUAACCUACCUAUCAGACUGGGAUAACUUCGGGAAACCGGAGCUAAUACCGGAUAAUAUAUUGAACCGCAUGGUUCAAUAGUGAAAGACGGUUUUGCUGUCACUUAUAGAUGGAUCCGCGCCGCAUUAGCUAGUUGGUAAGGUAACGGCUUACCAAGGCAACGAUGCGUAGCCGACCUGAGAGGGUGAUAGGCCACACUGGAACUGAGACACGGUCAAGACUACUACGGGAGGCAGCAGUAGGGAAUCUUCCGCAAUGGGCGAAAGCCUGACGGAGCAACGCCGCGUGAGUGAUGAAGGUCUUCGGAUCGUAAAACUCUGUUAUGAGGGAAGAACAAAUGUGUAAGUAACUAUGCACGUCUUGACGGUACCUAAUCAGAAAGCCACGGCUAACUACGUG
rnacentral:rRNA from 1 species